rfam:Triticum aestivum genome assembly, contig: Triticum_aestivum_CS42_TGACv1_scaffold_145886_2BS
UAUAUACUCCCUCCAUCCGAAAAUACUUGUCGUAAAAAUGGAUACAAUGGAUGUAUCUAGAAUUAAAAUACAUCUAGAUACAUCCAUUCCUCGGACAAGUAUUUUCAGACGAAGGGACUAUGAA